UACAGAGGGGGCAAGCGUUGUUCGGAAUUACUGGGCGUAAAGGGCGCGUAGGCGGCCUGCUAAGUCGAACGUGAAAUCCCUGGGCUCAACCCAGGAACUGCGUCCGAUACUGGUUGGCUUGAAUCCGGGAGAGGGAUGCGGAAUUCCAGGUGUAGCGGUGAAAUGCGUAGAUAUCUGGAGGAACACCGGUGGCGAAGGCGGCAUCCUGGACCGGCAUUGACGCUGAGGCGCGAAAGCCAGGGGAGCAAAC
rnacentral:rRNA from 1 species